rnacentral:sRNA from 1 species
AGAGGAGGGUGCAUAUGUGCGACGCACAUAUUUAGGAUGCACCCGACGACCUGCCGCCGAGCGAAGCGAGGGGGCACUACCC